rnacentral:rRNA from 1 species
CACGUAGGGUGCGAGCGUUGUCCGGAAUUAUUGGGCGUAAAGAGCUCGUAGGCGGUGUGUCGCGUCGGCCGUGAAAACCUGCAGCUUAACUGUGGGCUUGCGGUCGAUACGGCAUCACUGGAGUUCGGCAGGGGAGACUGGAAUUCCUGGUGUAGCGGUGAAAUGCGCAGAUAUCAGGAGGAACACCUGCGGCGAAGGCGGGUUGCUGGGCUGAUACUGACGCUGAGGCGCGAAAGCCAGGGAGGCAAACGGG